GGGCCCGCACAAGCGGUGGAGCAUGUGGUUUAAUUCGAUGAUACGCGAGGAACCUUACCAGGGCUUAAAUGUAGGUUGCAUGAUCUAGAGAUAGAUCUUUCUUCGGACUACCUACAAGGUGCUGCAUGGUUGUCGUCAGCUCGUGUCGUGAGAUGUUGGGUUAAGUCCCGCAACGAGCGCAACCCACGUCUUUAGUUGCCAGCAUUUAGUUGGGCACUCUGAAAGAACUGCCAGUGAUAAGCUGGAGGAAGGUGGGGAUGACGUCAAGUCCUCAUGGCCCUUACGUGUUGGGCUACACACGUGCUACAAUGGUAUCUACAACAGGAAGCAAAACAGCGAUGUUAAGCAAAUCCUUAAAAGAUACCUCAGUUCGGAUUGCACUCUGCAACUCGAGUGCAUGAAGCUGGAAUUACUAGUAAUCG
rnacentral:rRNA from 1 species